UACGUAGGGUGCGAGCGUUAUCCGGAUUUACUGGGUUUAAAGGGUGUGUAGGCGGGCUUUUAAGUCAGUGGUGAAAUCUCCGGGCUCAACCUGGAAACUGCCAUUGAUACUAUUAGUCUUGAAUUUUGUUGAGGUAGGCGGAAUAAGUCAUGUAGCGGUGAAAUGCAUAGAUAUGACUUAGAACACCAAUUGCGAAGGCAGCUUGCUAAACAAAUAUUGACGCUGAGGCACGAAAGCGUGGGGAUCAAACAGG
rnacentral:rRNA from 1 species